rnacentral:lncRNA from 1 species
CCCAAGAGUCAUUAAUGUCAUUCAGGAUUAAAAAUAGCUACUCACACAUUCCCCAUUCAAACUGCUAGAAAAACCUGUUCCAUAUAUAUUGUUUUAGUAAUGCUUUCCUUUUCUGUGGAGCAUAUGAAAACGUACAAACUUUCACAGUGUCAGUUCAAUUUAAUCAUUCGGAGGUAGGCUUUGUAAUUAUAGUUGCAGAAACAGACCCAAAAAAGUUAAGUGAGGCUGGUCACAGUGGCUC